CCUACGGGUGGCAGCAGUGAGGAAUAUUGGUCAAUGGACGAGAGUCUGAACCAGCCAAGUAGCGUGAAGGAUGACUGCCCUAUGGGUUGUAAACUUCUUUUAUAAAGGAAUAAAACGAGGCACGUGUGCCUUUUUGCAUGUACUUUAUGAAUAAGGAUCGGCUAACUCCGUGCCAGCAGCAGCGGUAAUACGGAGGAUCCGAGCGUUAUCCGGAUUUAUUGGGUUUAAAGGGAGCGUAGAUGGGUUGUUAAGUCAGUUGUGAAAGUUUGCGGCUCAACCGUAAAAUUGCAAUUGAUACUGGCAGUCGUGAGUACAGUUGAGGUAGGCGGAAUUCGUGGUGUAGCGGUGAAAUGCUUAGAUAUCACGAAGAACCCCGAUUGCGAAGGCAGCUUACUAAACUGUGACUGACAUUGAUGCUCGAAAGUGUGGGUAUCAAACAGGAUUAGAUACCCCAGUAGUC
rnacentral:rRNA from 1 species